AGUGAGCGCUGGCGGUAGGCCUAACACAUGCAAGUCGAACGGCAGCACAGUAAGAGCUUGCUCUUACGGGUGGCGAGUGGCGGACGGGUGAGGAAUACAUCGGAAUCUACUUUUUCGUGGGGGAUAACGUAGGGAAACUUACGCUAAUACCGCAUACGACCUACGGGUGAAAGCAGGGGAUCUUCGGACCUUUCGCUAUUGAAUGAGCCGAUGUCGGAUUAGCUAGUUGGCGGGGUAAAGGCCCACCAAGGCGACGAUCCGUAGAUGGUCUGAGAGGAUGAUCAGCCACACUGGAACUGAGACACGGUCCAGACUCCUACGGGAGGAAGCAGUGGGGAAUAUUGGACAAUGGGCGCAAGCCUGAUCCAGCAAUACCGCGUGGGUGAAGAAGGCCUUCGGGUUGUAAAGCCCUUUUGUUGGGAAAGAAAAGCAGCAGGUUAAUACCCCGCUGUUCUGACGGUACCCAAAGAAUAAGCACCGGCUAACUUCGUG
rnacentral:rRNA from 1 species